rnacentral:rRNA from 1 species
UACGGAGGGUGCAAGCGUUAAUCGGAAUUACUGGGCGUAAAGCGUGCGCAGGCGGCUUUGCAAGACAGAUGUGAAAUCCCCGGGCUUAACAUGGGAACUGCAUUUGUGACUGCAUGGCUGGAGUGCGGCAGAGGGGGAUGGAAUUCCGCGUGUAGCAGUGAAAUGCGUAGAUAUGCGGAGGAACACCGAUGGCGAAGGCAAUCCCCUGGGCCUGCACUGACGCUCAUGCACGAAAGCGUGGGGAGCAAACAGG